rnacentral:rRNA from 1 species
UUAAGUGACUAAGCGUACACGGUGGAUGCCCUGGCAGUCAGAGGCGAUGAAGGACGUGCUAAUCUGCGAAAAGCGUCGGUAAGGUGAUAUGAACCGUUAUAACCGGCGAUGUCCGAAUGGGGAAACCCAGUGCAAUUCGUUGCACUAUCGUUAACUGAAUACAUAGGUUAACGAGGCGAACCGGGGGAACUGAAACAUCUAAGUACCCCGAGGAAAAGAAAUCAACCGAGAUUCCCCCAGUAGCGGCGAGCGAACGGGGAGCAGCCCAGAGUCUGAAUCAGCUUGUGUGUUAGUGGAACGGUCUGGAAAGUCCGACGGUACAGGGUGAUAGUCCCGUACACCAAAAUGCACAGGNUGUGAACUCGAAGAGUAGGGCGGGACACGUGGUAUCCUGUCUGAAUAUGGGGGGACCAUCCUCCAAGGCUAAAUACUCCUGACUGACCGAUAGUGAACCAGUACCGUGAGGGAAAGGCGAAAAGAACCCCGGCGAGGGGAGUGAAAAAGAACCUGAAACCGUGUACGUACAAGCAGUGGGAGCACCUUCGGGUGUGACUGCGUACCUUUUGUAUAAUGGGUCAGCGACUUAUAUUCUGUAGCAAGGUUAACCGUAUAGGGGAGCCGCAGGGAAACCGAGUCUUAACUGGGCGUUAAGUUGCAGGGUAUAGACCCGAAACCCGGUGAUCUAGCCAUGGGCAGGUUGAAGGUUGGGUAACACUAACUGGAGGACCGAACCGACUAAUGUUGAAAAAUUAGCGGAUGACUUGUGGCUGGGGGUGAAAGGCCAAUCAAACCGGGAGAUAGCUGGUUCUCCCCGAAAGCUAUUUAGGUAGCGCCUCGUGAACUCAUCUUCGGGGGUAGAGCACUGUUUCGGCUAGGGGGUCAUCCCGACUUACCAACCCGAUGCAAACUACGAAUACCGAAGAAUGUUAUCACGGGAGACACACGGCGGGUGCUAACGUCCGUCGUGAAGAGGGAAACAACCCAGACCGCCAGCUAAGGUCCCAAAGUCAUGGUUAAGUGGGAAACGAUGUGGGAAGGCACAGACAGCCAGGAUGUUGGCUUAGAAGCAGCCAUCAUUUAAAGAAAGCGUAAUAGCUCACUGGUCGAGUCGGCCUGCGCGGAAGAUGUAACGGGGCUAAACCAUGCACCGAAGCUGCGGCAGCGACACUAUGUGUUGUUGGGUAGGGGAGCGUUCUGUAAGCCUGCGAAGGUGNUGCUGGAGGUAUCAGAAGUGCGAAUGCUGACAUAAGUAACGAUAAAGCGGGUGAAAAGCCCGCUCGCCGGAAGACCAAGGGUUCCUGUCCAACGUUAAUCGGGGCAGGGUGAGUCGACCCCUAAGGCGAGGCCGAAAGGCGUAGUCGAUGGGAAACAGGUUAAUAUUCCUGUACUUGGUGUUACUGCGAAGGGGGGACGGAGAAGGCUAUGUUAGCCGGGCGACGGUUGUCCCGGUUUAAGCAUGUAGGCUGGUUGUCCAGGCAAAUCCGGAUAAUCAAGGCUGAGGUGUGAUGACGAGGCACUACGGUGCUGAAGUAACAAAUGCCCUGCUUCCAGGAAAAGCCUCUAAGCAUCAGGUAACAUCAAAUCGUACCCCAAACCGACACAGGUGGUCAGGUAGAGAAUACCAAGGCGCUUGAGAGAACUCGGGUGAAGGAACUAGGCAAAAUGGUGCCGUAACUUCGGGAGAAGGCACGCUGGUGUGUAGGUGAAGUCCCUGCGGAUGGAGCUGAGACCAGUCGAAGAUACCAGCUGGCUGCAACUGUUUAUUAAAAACACAGCACUGUGCAAACACGAAAGUGGACGUAUACGGUGUGACGCCUGCCCGGUGCCGGAAGGUUAAUUGAUGGGGUUAUCCGUAAGGAGAAGCUCUUGAUCGAAGCCCCGGUAAACGGCGGCCGUAACUAUAACGGUCCUAAGGUAGCGAAAUUCCUUGUCGGGUAAGUUCCGACCUGCACGAAUGGCGUAAUGAUGGCCAGGCUGUCUCCACCCGAGACUCAGUGAAAUUGAACUCGCUGUGAAGAUGCAGUGUACCCGCGGCAAGACGGAAAGACCCCGUGAACCUUUACUAUAGCUUGACACUGAACAUUGAGCCUUGAUGUGUAGGAUAGGUGGGAGGCUUUGAAGCGUGGACGCCAGUCUGCGUGGAGCCAACCUUGAAAUACCACCCUUUAAUGUUUGAUGUUCUAACGUUGGCCCCUGACCGGGGUUGCGGACAGUGUCUGGUGGGUAGUUUGACUGGGGCGGUCUCCUCCCAAAGCGUAACGGAGGAGCACGAAGGUUAGCUAAUCCUGGUCGGACAUCAGGAGGUUAGUGCAAUGGCAUAAGCUAGCUUGACUGCGAGCGUGACGGCGCGAGCAGGUGCGAAAGCAGGUCAUAGUGAUCCGGUGGUUCUGAAUGGAAGGGCCAUCGCUCAACGGAUAAAAGGUACUCCGGGGAUAACAGGCUGAUACCGCCCAAGAGUUCAUAUCGACGGCGGUGUUUGGCACCUCGAUGUCGGCUCAUCACAUCCUGGGGCUGAAGUAGGUCCCAAGGGUAUGGCUGUUCGCCAUUUAAAGUGGUACGCGAGCUGGGUUUAGAACGUCGUGAGACAGUUCGGUCCCUAUCUGCCGUGGGCGCUGGAGAAUUGAGGGGGGCUGCUCCUAGUACGAGAGGACCGGAGUGGACGCAUCACUGGUGUUCGGGUUGUCAUGCCAAUGGCACUGCCCGGUAGCUAAAUGCGGAAGAGAUAAGUGCUGAAAGCAUCUAAGCACGAAACUUGCCCCGAGAUGAGUUCUCCCUGAGACUUUAAGUCUCCUGAAGGAACGUUAAAGACGAUGACGUUGAUAGGCCGGGUGUGUAAGCGCAGCGAUGCGUUGAGCUAACCGGUACUAAUGAACCGUGAGGCUUAACCUU